rnacentral:misc_RNA from 1 species
GAAAUGCGAUACGUAUCAUGAAUUGCAGAACUCUGAAUGAUAAAUGUUUGAACGCACAUUGCGCCAGCCUUUGGUUGGCAUGUCUGUCUGAGAAUCUUAAAGUUCCCUUCAAACACGUGUUGUUGUUUGGCCAUUGAUAGCAUUCAUUGUUUUUUUUAAAACAAUGAGCUAUUGAAAUUGAUAAUCAAACGUGUUUAAUAAUGCCUUGACAAACUCAAAGCUUAUUAUAACCAAAACAAAACUUGGUUUCAGAUCAGACAGGAGGACCCGCUGAGUUUAA